rnacentral:rRNA from 1 species
UACGUAGGGGGCAAGCGUUGUUCGGAUUUACUGGGCGUAAAGGGCGCGUAGGCGGCCUAGCAAGUCACUUGUGAAAUCUCCGGGCUUAACUCGGAACUGCCAAGUGAAACUGCUGGGCUAGAGUGCAGAAGGGGCAAUCGGAAUUCUUGGUGUAGCGGUGAAAUGCGUAGAUAUCAAGAGGAACACCUGAGGUGAAGACGGGUUGCUGGGCUGACACUGACGCUGAGGCGCGAAAGCCAGGGGAGCAAACGGG